rnacentral:rRNA from 1 species
AGUGAACGCUGGCGGUAGGCCUAACACAUGCAAGUCGAACGGCAGCACAGUAAGAGCUUGCUCUUACGGUUGGCGAGUGGCGGACGUGUGAGGAAUACAUCGGAAUCUACUUUUUCUUUUGGGAUAACGUAGGGAAACUUACGCUAAUACCGCAUACGACCUACGGUUUAAAUCAGUGGAUCUUCUUACCUUGCGCGAUUGAAUGAGCCGAUGUCGGAUUUGCUAGUUGUCGGGGUAAAGGCCCACCAAGGCGACGAUCCGUAGCUUGUCUGAGAGGAGGAUCAGCAAAAAUGGAAGUGAGGCACGGAACAGACAACUACGGGAGGCAGAAGAGGGGAAUAUGGGACAAUGGGAGCAAGCAUGAUAAAGCAAAAACGCGUGGGUGAAGAAGGACUACGGGUUGUAAAGACCUUUUGUUGGGAAAGAAAAGAAGGAGGUUAAAACACCGAUGUAAUGACGGUAACAAAAGAAUAAGCGACGGCUAACUACGUG